AUUGAACGCUGGCGGCAGGCUUAACACAUGCAAGUCGAGCGGAGCGAGGGUGCUUGCACCUUAGCUUAGCGGCGGACGGGUGAGUAAUGCUUAGGAAUCUGCCUAUUAGUGGGGGACAACAUUCCGAAAGGGAUGCUAAUACCGCAUACGCCCUACGGGGGAAAGCAGGGGAUCUUCGGACCUUGCGCUAAUAGAUGAGCCUAAGUCGGAUUAGCUAGUUGGUGGGGUAAAGGCCUACCAAGGCGACGAUCUGUAGCGGGUCUGAGAGGAUGAUCCGCCACACUGGGAAUGAGACACGGCCCAGACGCCUACGGGAGGCAGCAGUGGGGAAUAUUGGACAAUGGGCGGAAGCCUGAUCCAGCCAUGCCGCGUGUGUGAAGAAGGCCUUUUGGUUGUAAAGCACUUUAAGCGAGGAGGAGGCUACCUGGAUUAAUACUCUAGGAUAGUGGACGUUACUCGCAGAAUAAGCACCGGCUAACUCUGUGCCAGCAGCCGCUGUAAGAC
rnacentral:rRNA from 1 species